rnacentral:sRNA from 1 species
AAAAUGUUUAAAGUUUCAAUUCUUUAAAAUAAAGAAUCCUAGUAAACAGGAUAACCAUUUUAAUUUUGGACACCUCAUAAAUCAAGCUUCUUGCUCAUUCGUAAUCAGAAUCAUUUUGGUUCUUCUUACAGUAUGACUCCGAAUCAUUGUCCAAUUUUUUAAGCGAUGUGGGACAUUUUACAAUCGUAAUAUACCAUCCCAUGUUAUUAUCAACCCAAACCCGUCCUACCAUAUAACACAGUCCCUUGAAAUUAAACAUCAUUUUGUCAUUUUCUUAUAAUUUUAAUAUUAUAAAAUUUGAACUUC